GCCAGUGCUGCACACAGUGCGUGUUUACAUUAAAAAGCCUGCAGGGACAAACUAUAGACACCAGAACCACUUUAUUAAGCUGCAGUGGUUCUGGGGACUAUAGUGUCCCUUUAAUGUGAGGUAAGUUAGAGAUUAGUGUCACUAAUAAUAUACUAGAUUGCCUACUUACAAUCAGAUGAGUUGGUGAUGGGCUCUGGCUACAGUCUGGC
rnacentral:lncRNA from 1 species